GUGCCUAACACAUGCAAGUCGUACGAGAAAGGGGAGCAAUCCCUGAGUAAAGUGGCGACCGGGUGAGUAACACGUGACUACCUACCCUCGAGUGGGGGAUAACUCCGGGAAACCGGAGCUAAUACCGCAUAACAUCGCAAGAUCAAAGCAGCAAUGCGCUGGAGGAGGGGGUCGCGGCUGAUUAGCUAGUUGGCGGGGUAACGGCCCACCAAGGCGAAGAUCGGUAUCCGGCCUGAGAGGGCGCACGGACACACUGGAACUGAAACACGGUCCAG
rnacentral:rRNA from 1 species